AACUUUCUGGAUCCGUGAAGAUUUCGUCUGACACCAAACCACUGGGGCUGAUCAGACUUCCAGGAUAAAUAAAUUU
rnacentral:pre_miRNA from 1 species